CGGGAUUUAGCUGGACUGAUGGACUGACUUCAGAAAUUGUCUACUGGCCUGUUAAGUCCCGAG
rnacentral:pre_miRNA from 1 species